rnacentral:rRNA from 1 species
AUUGAACGCUGGCGGCAGGCCUAACACAUGCAAGUCGAGCGAGCGGCGGACGGGUGAGUAAUGUAUGGGGAUCUGCCCGAUAGAGGGGGAUAACUACUGGAAACGGUGGCUAAUACCGCAUACCAUCGGAUGAACCCAUAUGGGAUUAGCUUGUGGGUGGGGUAAAGGCUCACCUAGGCGACGAUCCCUAGCUGGUCUGAGAGGAUGACCAGCCAAACUGGGACUGGGCAACUGCCCAAACUCCUACGGGGGGCAGCAGUGGGGAAUGUUGCAAAAUGGGCGCAAACCUGAUGCAGCCAUGCCGCGUGUAUGAAGAAGGCCUUAGGGUUGUAAAGUACUUUCAGCGGGGGAGCGUUACCCGCAGGAGAAACACCGGCUGAAUCCGUGCCAGCAGCCGCGGUAAUUC